UACAGAGGGUGCGAGCGUUGUUCGGAAUCACUGGGCGUAAAGGGCGCGUAGGCGGCCGCCCGCGUCGGACGUGAAAGCCCGGGGCUCAACCCCGGAACGGCGUCCGAUACGGGGCGGCUCGAGGCCGGGAGAGGGGGGUGGAAUACCCAGUGUAGAGGUGAAAUUCGUAGAUAUUGGGUGGAACACCGGUGGCGAAAGCGGCCACCUGGACUGCACCUGACGCUGACACGCGAAAGCUAGGGGAGCGAACGGG
rnacentral:rRNA from 1 species